UAAUAAAAACUAGCAAACCUGCUCUAAAAAUGAAUUAGAGAAAAAAAAGUCAAAACUAAAUAAAACUAAACUAUAAUUAAAAAUCCCAAACUAUUUUAACCUUGGAUGUCGGACACAUUUAUCGGACCUUUACGUCAUUGAAAUGCAACAAACGUCAGGAAUGUUACUUCUGUAAACACAGUGCGUGAUCACGUAUUACAUCAGGACCUUUUUUGCACAUGCGGGUCACUUCAGGGUCACAUUCAGUUCAUCCUCAAAAUUGAUAGAAGUCGCAUUUAAUGUGUAAUAUGAAUGAUCACACAAAAAAAUUGGAUUUCAACAAAAAAUCCGAAUAGUGCAUUAAGGCUUGCAGUCUGAACGUAGCCUUAGAGACACGGUGUGAGGCAUUAGUGGCAUAAAAAUCCAUGGAUGAAGAAGAGGUGCAGCGAAUCACAAAACUAAGUGAGGCUGAUUUUUACAACAACAUGGAGCACAAAAACUACAACUAAUACUGCUGAAAAUCUGUUUAUCUUUGAUGUAAUUUGGAUAGAAUUAGCUGAAUGUGUUUUUUUUUUUGUUAAUUUUUAUUUGGAAUAUCAGCAUUUAAACCCAAAAACAUAAGAAAAAAACAUUCAAAAAAGGAGCGGGAUGAAGUUCAACUUAAAUUUGUGAAAUAAAUACUGAAAUAAAUGAAUAAUAAUGUCUAUCUGCCAGCUUUAUCAAAAUUAUAGUUUUAAGCUUGAUCCUAAAUGUAAAGUGCACAGUCUCCUUUUAAAAGGGAUCUGGUUUUACAGGGAUCAAGUCUGGCAUCUGGUCCUUAAUAAUAAUUUCAGUCUUAAAACUAAAACAACUGCUCACUCUGCUUUAGCUCAGCACAUAAUUAAUAGGGUGGUCCUUAUAUGGGCUUUUCUUGGUCAAAAAGUUCCAAGUAUUUAGUGAAUUGUGACGCUGAGUAAAAAUAGUGUGUGUUUUUAUGAUAGAAGAUAUACCAACACACCUUUUAUAAGAGCAAAUUCUGUUAAAAACGACAAAAAAAGAUAAAACCUGCAUUCAAGUGACCGGUGUAGAGGUAGAUCUUCAUUUCUUUGGUGCUCCUUAACGUGGUGUUUAUCCAUAAAUAGGAUCGAUUUCAUGUCAGACUGUGCGUAAGAUCGACCUAUUGGAGAAAAAUCAGUGCUUCAACAUGAUCAUUUUAACAGUAUUUAAUUUGUCGUCCAUGUACUGAGGUGCUGAUGUGUCAAAUCAGUCCUGCUGUUGUUUUUGUGUGUGUGUGACAGUGUAUGAGGUUUUAUUUGUGCAUGUUCAAACCUUUUAGACUCAGACUAUUUUGGCAAACUUAUCCAGUUCAACACAUUACAUCUAAAAA